UAUGUAAAAGGAUCGAAGUGCGUAAAACAUAAACAGUGAGGUCGUCAUUCAUGUUUCGUGUGAUUUUUAACACCGAGUGAUCUGAAUAUCCAAAACGUUGAUUUGUAUGUCAGCACAGACAUGGUUUUCUGACGAUGCACACACCCUCCACUCUGAUCCAAGCACUGUGCGUCUUCAGUAUUCUAUUUGUGGAGCUUGUUUUGACUAAAAGACCUCCUUGUGAGGCAGGCAGGUGGCGGUACUCCGAGGGCAAAGGUAGAUGUGUCCGCUGUAGGUGUCCAAAGGGGACCCAGCUGUCUGGCAGCGAGGAUAUUCCUCAUGACAAAGUUCUCGGUGCCCUACAAUGUCCCAACUGCACACGUUGUAACCCCGGCGAAUUCAGCAAUGGCAGGACAGGCUUUCUGUGUUUAGAGUGCUCAACACCGUGCGAAGAACGAAGAAGACUGACUAAAGUAGCCUGUGAUGGGACAAACAAUGUUGACUGUGGACAGUGCAAAGAAGGAUACUUUGAGAGAUUACCAGGGGAUGUAUCGUGUAUGCCGUGCACAAACGAGUUAGAUCGAGCUGAAUGUGUAGGUAAAAUCAUCUAUCAGUCUUCUACAGCCCCACCCAUUAAUAUUAACAGUGAAACAACUCUCGUGGAAUCUCAUGGAAAAGAGGAUCAGGAAAAUGGAUCCGCCAACAGCACGUCACACUCAAACGGAAGUCAGCUGAUCGUAGUCAUUCUUUGUAUACUUACUAUGGUAUUGGUUAUUGCCAUAGCACUAGUUCUGAUCAAAUGUAUUCCAAAAUUUUGUAACAUUUCGGACUGGAUAGCUCAAAAUCUUGGAUCAGACUCAACAGUGAAUUCUAAUGGAUCAUCUGGCUCCUUGUUGAAAAAUAACCUGGCAAACGGUAAUUCAUUUGUGUUAAUGUCAAUAUUCGUUGAAUAUUGUGCUGCAAAAAUUAAAGUCUUGGCUGAUGCCUUAAUUGUUCCUUCUUUAACUGAUCGUUAUAUUUGAUUGAAAAACAAACAGGAAACGAGUACUACUUUUAAGUAGUGCAGAAAUAAUAGACAACUCAUAUAUUGCUUUUAAAUUGUCAAUAUUGUGGUUGCAUUAAACUUAAUAUCAUCUGUGUUUUGGCGGUUUUUUUUCUUCUUGAAUUCAUGUAUAUACAGGUCUAUGGUAUGUGCUACCUUACGUUUGAUCAUGUUUGGCAAAUAUUUCAUGUACAGAUCUGGAAAUGGACGCAGUGACUCCUGCUGGUCGGGAACCGGGAUAUCCAGAGUUAGAUCCAGAGAUAACCCAGAGAAUGAAGACUGCUGUUGUCAACAGAGAUGGUAGUCUACUGCGGACCAUCGCCACCAAGAUUGACCAGGACCCUGAACCCGCGUUUUUGCUGUUGGAUAUCAGCAGAGGCGCGAUAUUUCAAGAGAAAGAAAGUCUUAAGGGACGAUACAUUUCUGAAUAUUAUUUAGCAAUCCUUCAGAAGUGGGUGGAGAGAAAUUAUCAACAAGCCACUCAGUUUGUACUGUACAUGGCUUUUUGGAAUGCUCAGAUGUUCACAGUCUGUGAUAUUAUUUUAUGUGACACUCAGUCCAAUUGUUGAGGCAAAUUUUUAUGAUUUGUUAAUCUGAUGCAUAAUAUAAGUUUUACACCUUUAUUUCUGGAAAUCUAUAUUUUUAGGAACCUUUUUUUUUUAAAAACGAUUUUCUUAUUUUUAUGUAUAUAGCUUAGUACAUCGAGUUCUUCUGGUCCCAUCAGUGAAUUUAGAUGCUGAACAGUUAAAUGGCCCGGCUUUGAAAUCACUGAACUAAAGAUUUAAAAUACCGAUUGUUUCGAUGUAAAUAUUAACAGGCUACUGCCAUUCAUUACUGCCAUGCAGAGUAUAAUGUAUAUAAUAUGUGCUCAAUCCGGAUGCUAAGUACAUUGAAGUGUCUUCAAUAUAUUUUGUUUUUAAAAUGCAUCUCUUCUAAAGAGGUUGCCAUACUAGUAUAAAGAUUAUUAUUACAAGAAUAUAUGGAUAUUUAAGAGACAUCCAUAAAUGACAUAGCUGUGUCAAUGCUCACAUCUUGUCAGCUUGCUUUUUUGAUUAAAAAAUGGCAAGCUAGAAAUAUUGUCAAUAUAUGCCGAAUCAAUGCAGAUUGUUUUAAUAUUAUCAAAUCAUUGUAUAUUGUUAUGAAUUUCUAUCACAAGAGGGACGCUAGCUACACUCAGUGAUUGUCGCAAGCUGAUGUUUCUCUGUUGCUUGCAUGUUACUAGUACAUGAUUGUAUAAAUGAAUGAAAGAUUUAUAGAUAAUUUCUACUUUUAUAAAGUCUAUAAAUAAUGAUGAUUAUGUGUACAGACUUGAAAGUUUCAGAUUUAUUACAUUGUCUUCAAGACAUAAAUGUAUUAAAAAUUU
rnacentral:misc_RNA from 1 species